rnacentral:rRNA from 1 species
UACGGAGGGUCCAAGCGUUAUCCGGAAUCAUUGGGUUUAAAGGGUCCGUAGGCGGUUUUGUAAGUCAGUGGUGAAAGCCCAUCGCUCAACGGUGGAACGGCCAUUGAUACUGCAAGACUUGAAUUAUUAGGAAGUAACUAGAAUAUGUAGUGUAGCGGUAAAAUGCUUAGAGAUUACAUGGAAUACCAAUUGCGAAGGCAGGUUACUACUAAUUGAUUGACGCUGAUGGACGAAAGCGUGGGGAGCGAACAGG